rnacentral:rRNA from 1 species
GACGAACGCUGGCGGCGUGCUUAACACAUGCAAGUCGAACGGAAAGGCCCUGCUUGCAGGGUACUUGAGUGGCGAACGGGUGUGUAACACGUGGGUGAUCUGCCCUUCACUUCGGGAUAAGCCUGGGAAACUGGGUCUAAUACCGGAUAGGAGCCAUUUUUAUUGUGAUGGUUGGAAAGUUUUUUCGUUGUAGGAUGAGCUCGCGGCCUAUAAGCUUGUUGGUGGGGUAAUGGCCUACCAAGGCGGCGACGGGUAGCCGGCCGGAGAGGGUGGACGGCCACAUUGGGACUGAGAUACGGCCCAGACUCCUACGGGAGGCAGAAGUGGGGAAUAUUGCACAAUAAGCACAAGCCUGAUGCAGCGACGCCGCGUGGGGGAUGACGGCCUUCGGGUUGUAGACUCCUUUCGCUAGGGACGAAGCGUUUUGUGACGGUACCUAGAUAGGAAACACCGGCUAACUACGUG